rnacentral:rRNA from 1 species
CAGCAGCCGCGUAAUACGAAGGGUGCAAGCGUUACUCGGAAUUACUGGGCGUAAAGCGUGCGUAGGUGGUGGUUUAAGUCCGUUGUGAAAGCCCUGGGCUCAACCUGGGAAUUGCAGUGGAUACUGGGUCACUAGAGUGUGGUAGAGGAUAGUGGAAUUUCCGGUGUAGCAGUGAAAUGCGUAGAGAUCGGAAGGAACAUCUGUGGCGAAGGCGACUAUCUGGGCCAACACUGACACUGAGGCACGAAAGCGUGGGGAGCAAACAGGAUUAGAUACCCCAGUAGUCCCUGUCUCUUAUACA